UUACGGCCAUAUCUCGUUGAAACCCCGGUUUUCGCAAGACCACCGAAUUUAAGCAACGUCGAAACUGAUCAGUACCUCAAUGGGUGACCGCUUGGGAAUACUAGGUGCAGUG